GACGAACGCUGGCGGCGUGCUUAACACAUGCAAGUCGAACGGUGAAGCGCCUUCCUUUUUGGUGGGUGUGGAUGAGUGGCGAACGGGUGAGUAACACGUGAGUAACCUGCCCCCUUCUUCUGGAUAACCGCAUGAAAGUGUGGCUAAUACGGGAUAUUCUGGGUCUGUCGCAUGAUGGGUCUGGGAAAGAUAUUGUUUCGGUGGGGGAUGGGCUCGCGGCCUAUCAGCUUGUUGGUGGGGUGAUGGCCUACCAAGGCGGUGACGGGUAGCCGGCCUGAGAGGGUGGACGGUCACACUGGGACUGCGACACGGCCCAGACUCCUACGAGAGGCAGCAGUGGGGAAUAUUGCACAAUGGGCGCAAGCCUGAUGCAGCGACGCCGCGUGAGGGAUGGAGGCCUUCGGGUUGUGAACCUCUUUCGCCAGUGAAGCAGGCCUGCCUCGUUUGUGGGUGGGUUGACGGUAGCUGGAUAAGAAGCGCCGGCUAACUACGUG
rnacentral:rRNA from 1 species